rnacentral:rRNA from 1 species
CCUACGGGAGGCUGCAGUCGGGAAUAUUGCGCAAUGGAGGAAACUCUGACGCAGUGACGCCGCGUAUAGGAAGAAUGUUUUCGGAUUGUAAACUAUUUUCGUGAGGGAAGAAAUUGACAGUACCUCAGCAUUAUGCUCCGGCCAACUUUGUGCCAGCAGCCGCGGUAAUACAUAGGGAGCAAGCGUUAUCCGGAUUGAUGGGGUGUAAAGGGGGCGUAGAUGGGAAAUUAAGUUAGUUGUGAAAUGCCUCGGCUUAACUGAGGAACUGCAACUGAAACUGACUGUCUUGAGUACUGGAGAGGAAAGUGGAAUGCGUGGUGUAGCGGUGAAAUGCGUAGAUAUUAGGAAGAACACCAGUGGCGAAGGCGACUUUCUGGACAGUAACUGACAUUGAGGCACGAAAGUGUGGGGAGCAAACAGGAUUAGAUACCCCAGUAGUC